AGUGAACGCUGGCGGUAGGCCUAACACAUGCAAGUCGAACGGCAGCACAGUAAGAGCUUGCUCUUACGGGUGGCGAGUGGCGGGCGGGUGAGGAAUACAUCGGAAUCUACUUUUUCGUGGGGGAUAACGUGGGGAAACUUACGCUAAUACCGCAUACGACCUACGGGUGAAAGCAGGGGAUCUUCGGACCUUGCGCGAUUGAAUGAGCCGAUGUCGGAUUAGCUAGUUGGCGGGGUAAAGGCCCACCAAGGCGACGAUCCGUAGCUGGUCUGAGAGGAUGAUCAGCCACACUGGAACUGAGACACGGUCCAGACUCCUACGGGAGGCAGCAGUGGGGAAUAUUGGACAAUGGGCGCAAGCCUGAUCCAGCCAUACCGCGUGGGUGAAGAAGGCCUUCGGGUUGUAAAGCCCUUUUGUUGGGAAAGAAAAGCAGCAGGUUAAUACCCCGCUGUUCUGACGGUACCCAAAGAAUAAGCACUGGCUAACUUCGUG
rnacentral:rRNA from 1 species